CCAGACUCCUACGGGAGGCAGCAGUGGGGAAUAUUGGGCAAUGGGCGCAAGCCUGACCCAGCAACGCCGCGUGAAGGAAGAAGGCUUUCGGGUUGUAAACUUCUUUUAAGAGGGAAGAGCAGAAGACGGUACCUCUUGAAUAAGCCACGGCUAACUACGUGCCAGCAGCCGCGGUAAUACGUAGGUGGCAAGCGUUGUCCGGAUUUACUGGGUGUAAAGGGCGUGCAGCCGGGAGUGCAAGUCAGAUGUGAAAUCCCGCGGCUCAACCGCGGAACUGCAUUUGAAACUGUGCUUCUUGAGUGCUGGAGAGGCAGACGGAAUUCCUAGUGUAGCGGUGAAAUGCGUAGAUAUUAGGAGGAACACCAGUGGCGAAGGCGACUUUCUGGACUGUUCCUGACGCUGAGGCGCGAAAGCGUGGGUAGCGAACGGGAUUAGAUACCCGCGUA
rnacentral:rRNA from 1 species